rnacentral:lncRNA from 1 species
CACCUAGCUAUGGAAGGAAGAAUGGAAAUUACAAUAACAAAAUCCUAAUUCUAAUAGAAUACUAACAAUGCUCUAAUUAGACCAUAAUAAUGGUAAGUAAGCUUAAUCAAAUUCAAAAAAACUUCAAAGAAAUUUCAAACAAAUAAUAAGAAUUCUUAAAGAAAUAUUAGAAGGAUCACAAAUAUCACUCAAAUACAUCUCAAUUCAAUCUUAAUUUAAUUUUAAUUAAAAUCCUAUUGAACUUCAUUCAAACUUUAGGCCAAAACUAAUUGAAUCUUAAAUCCUAAUAAAAUCCUAAACCCUAAAUCAAACCCUAAACAAACCUUAAACCAAACCCCAACCAAAUCCUAAAUCCUAACCAAAUCCUAAUCCAAAUCCUA